UUCUCAUCGAUUUUCAACGAU
ensembl:piRNA 21ur-8129 ncRNA